rnacentral:lncRNA from 1 species
CCUCAGGGUCCUCCACGCCGGUGAAAGAAGCCUUCACAGGUACCACGCUCGCAGGGAUAGGCGUGUUUGUGAUCGCCUGAGCAAACGGCAUAGGGAAAACGCGAGGUGGCGACGACGACGCGACCUCUUCAGCGACUGGGCGUCCUCUCUGCUCCUGAAGAGCUUGACGCAACUCCUCAGUCACUUUGCUGAUCUCUUCAUUCCUGGCCUGAGAAGCGACCAGGUCCUCAUGCAUCUUCGCCUGCUCUAUGCGCGAGGCCUCCACAUUCGCCUGCAGCGC